AGUGAACGCUGGCGGUAGGCCUAACACAUGCAAGUCGAACGGCAGCACAGUAAGAACUUGCUCUUACGGGUGGCGAGUGGCGGACGGGUGAGGAAUACAUCGGAAUCUACUUUUUCGUGGGGGAUAACGUAGGGAAACUUACGCUAAUACCGCAUACGACCUACGGGUGAAAGCAGGGGAUCUUCGGACCUUGCGCGAUUGAAUGAGCCGAUGUCGGAUUAGCUAGUUGGCGGGGUAAAGGCCCACCAAGGCGACGAUCCGUAGCUGGUCUGAGAGGAUGAUCAGCCACACUGGAACUGAGACACGGUCCAGACUCCUAAGGGAGGCAGCAGUGGGGAAUAUUGGACAAAGGGCGCAAGCCUGAUCCAGCCAUACCGCGUGGGUGAAGAAGGCCUUCGGGUUGUAAAGCCCUUUUGUUGGGAAAGAAAAGCAGCAGGUUAAUACCCCGCUGUUCUGACGGUACCCAAAGAAUAAGCACCGGCUAACUUCGUG
rnacentral:rRNA from 1 species